GAUACGAACAGAUAAACAGAGAAGGAGGGACAGCGACGUAAAUGAACUUGGACGAGGGAACGAGACGGAGAGAAUGCAAGUCGGAGGAAGAAGCAAGUGCAACGUCCAGUGGUGGGGUAGGUGGUUGACGGUGGUGGGAGUCGACGCGCCGCUUUUGAAAAAACCGCAAAGCUUUAAGAAGGCGCGCGGUACCCCCCACCCUCGAGUACUACGCGAGCAACUAGCGGCAGACAUAGACAAGCCUCGCGCUUACUAUUACUGGAAAAUAGUUGGAUCCGAGUGGCCGAGGAUCCCGUCGGGAAAUUCUCGAGAAAAUCGGUCCACGCGUGAAAUCGUGAAAGUGAUGUUUCGCGAGUAGUAGUUCGCGCCAGCCGAGGCCAGCCGAAUUUUCGGCGGCCGAAUUUCCUCGAUUCGUCCGAUUCGUUUCGCGAUACGACGAUGAUUUUGCGUGCACUCGGCCACGAUCGCCGUCGGAAAAACGAACGAUGAUGCACGUACGCAUCGUUGGGAUUCUUCUCGAUGGAAGAUGCGCCUCGUAAGAAAUGUGGAAAACGAGAACUAUAGACGUUUGAUUAAAAGAAAUUUUUGGAGCAGUGAUGUGUCGAUGAUUGGAAAAUUUGUUUCGUUCUGGAUCUACGAUUCUCUCUCUAUCGAUACAACGUACGAGUCGUUUAAUGCAAAAAUCAUGCAAGCUAUAAUAAUAAAAGUAAUUUCUGAAUAACGAGGGACGAAGUAAAAGUAAAAGUUCUUUUACGCGAGCCAUUGUAAAAUUAUAUUGGGUUGGUGCAUACGAAAUGUCGUUCUUCCAAUGUAAUUCUGACCGUGUGUAACCUUUUCAAAAUAUCAUGCGUUUAACUGAAGUAAUUAUUUCUAUAUUUUUUCGAUCGACGAAAUUCAUUCAGUAAUUGUUAAUUUCAAAAUUCAAAGAAUUCUUGAAACAGGGUUGAAGCAGCAGAGUUGGUCUUAACUUUCAAUUUCUUUUAACGAACGCACGCGACGAAACGGGAGGUUUCUUCAACGUUUCAUCCUUUCUCAAAUGCCAAAUGUAUUUCGUAAUUUUCAGGAUAUUUCUAAAUAUAAACUUGUACUAAAUAUUCAUGGCUACAGAAUGAUACAAGAUUUUGAUAUUUCCAUUAUAAAUCUUCAUAAGAUGAAUAUAUCCGAUUUCUUCCUCUUUAAUGAUAAUUAACAAACUCGACAUUUUAUAUACACCAAUCCUCAUACGACGACACCUUAUACCACUUCUGCACGAAACAGGAGAUGGAGAUCGAGCUUUCGAAGCAUUCGUGAGAAACCGAGACAAGAAAUAAAUCGUGAAAACACGUCCUCCGUCGAGCUGGAUCGAAGACAACGAUCGAAAACGCACAUUGACGCGGAUUCAUCCACGUCAAAUUCUCGCUGAAUUUUAUGAAAAAUUCAAUUACCUACGUAUCUUUGGAAUUCGUCGUUCACGCACCGUUGUCACCCCGAAACCACCGUCAACGAUGGCCAGUCGCAAGAAGGAAAUUGAAUUCCCCGUAUCUACAGAAUUCUCGUCGAUCCACCCGGGCUUAUCGCCGAGUUGAGGGAAAACGACUCCGGUACAGAAACGAGGAAUUGUGUUUCGAUGAUGAAGUGCGCGACCGCGGACACCGUCGCGACGAUUUACGACGACGAUUAUAAAACGGGAAAAUAUUUCCCGAUCCGCGAGGGAUAGUAUUUUUUCCAGCCGUUUAGCAGCAUGGGAAAUUUAUUAGAUCCAAGUAGGGAGAUUUACCGCUCGGUUGUGCACGCGGCGAUCGCUCAACAACGGUUGCAUGAUUUAUCACGAGCAGCUUCGCCUUCGGUAUUAUAAUUUUAAGGGAUGAAAGGAGAAGGCUGAAAGAGCGCGAGUUCGAUUGACGGGUAAUUUAUUACGUGAUCCAACUUCCUGGUCCCCUGCGCAGUGUUCCCGCCGUGAAGAUCGAGUGUCCAGAAAUUGCUUCUUCGUGUCGUUCCAGUGAAAAUGGACCCUCUGUUUUCUUUUCUCGUUUUUAGAGAAAUUUCUACCUCUUGCGCUCGAAGUUGGAUUAGACUGCGGGUCGUAGUAGAUACAGGUCUGGAAUUUAUGUUCCGGCUAGUAAUUUUGUAAAAUUUUUCUUUUCCUCUUGCUGCGCAACGAAGUUCCAAAUUGAAUUUCUAACUGUUUCAGUUUGACUGUAGCGGUGUAAUUAUUAUACUCUUCCGUUGGAAUGACUUUGUAAAGAUGCAGCAACUUUAACUUUUAUUUUUGACCAUGAACUCUCUCGAUAUUUUCUCAUUGUUGGAUAAAAAACUAUCGACCAUCUCGUGCUGAUGACACACAGAGAGUUCAAAAUUGAAUUUUCACCAUAGCUGUUAAAAUAUAUUCUGUUCUUGUGCGUACAUUAGAGUGAUUCUGCAACGACGUAGUAUCUUUUUCCUACCACACUUCCCCAAUAUUUUCUCGUUCGGAGACUAUAUUUCCCCGAGUUUCUCGUAAACGCACGACAAAUUCUAUCGUUCGACUCAAAGUUGAAUUUCGAAAUGCUAUGUUCUUCGAUUCUCUGUAAAUAUACAGCUUCGUCCGACUUGCCUUUUACAUCCAGAAAUCAAAGCUCGCGUAUCUCGCAGCGAAAGGUCUUUCACUCCUUUCGAAGUAAACCUUUUAAAAUCUGUCUCCGUGUUUCUCGAUCGCAAUUAUCGCGCUCUACUCGUAGGUGAGACGCUACUCGUUAGUGAUACACUAUCCGCCAGGCGAUUCUUCCUCUCUUUCUCUCUUUCUCCUCCGAGCGGAAAGCUUGCGGCUGAGCUUUGUAAGCUCGUACGAUCGUAAAAUUAUUCAACGGGCCGCGUCGGUUCACCGCGCGAUCCGCAAUUGCAUUUAGACAGGUGGCCACGUUAUGACAUGCCGAGCCCGUAAACCGCUUACCGUGGGUGGCGAUACGCUCCCGGAGCACGUGGAAAAUUGGAUCGCGACCGUACGUAUCCCGGCAUUGUUAACAUAACUAGCACGUGUGUCACGCGCCCCGUGUGUAUGUCGCGCACGUAUCUCGCCACCGUACACAGGGUGCGUCGGAAAAUCGGUGGCACGAUCGGCCAACUGAUGAUUCUACGAACAAUGAUAAGAACGGGAAUGAAAGGAUAACAUUUUCUCGUUCGUGCGUCGAUUUUCGUCGAAAAUCGAGUUCGAGGAUGUUUAGGUGUUUCUUUUCAGUUUGAAUUUGUCCAUUGUCGAACAAUUCUGUAAAUUAUUCAAAAGUUGUCUGAAAAUUUCUUUCGGAAGGUCAAACGCAUCUUCCGUUCUAUCUGCAGAAUAUUUCAAUGUAUAAAUUGAAGCAGCCGCCGUUGCUUUGGCUCUGUUUCAAGGAUGUUUGAAUUUUGAAACUAGCAAUUCCUAUGAAUUUAGAAUAUUGUUAGGUGAAAAACUGUGCCAUCAGAUUCUGAUUAAAUACACGCAAUCAAAGUUGCAUUUGAAAAAUAUUUCCCAUGCACCGAUCUAAUAACUAACAAUUGGCUACAUAUUAAUGUAAUUGUGUUCCGUGGCUUAUUUUCAAGAACACCCUCGCGUAAUCAAAUUCAAUUACAACUGACAUUAUCAUUUUCCAACUCGUUCCUCUCGAGAACGAAUGUCGUUCGUUUAUCCCGAUCUAUCUUCACACUUACACUUUAGAAUUCGGUACGUCGUGUGUACGCUUGUCCCGAAUGUGAAACAUUCGGUCGUCGGUUCGCACGGAGCUAGCUCGCGUGCUCCCCUCAGAAGGGAAAACAAUAUAUCCUGUUUUUUCGCGAACGUGUUCCCUCGUCCAGAUCUCAUUUGCAUCGUUAUCGACACGCCGAUAGGGAACAACGUCGCAUUUCCACGUUUCUCGCGCGUCUCCUGUACUUUUCCUUUCACCACCGGAAAUUCAAUCCGACCGGAACGUUCCGUCUCAACAAAAUCAACACUCCGAUUUCGCGGCGCGUACGCGACACACCGGGCGUCGAGUGCGUCGCGAUAAACGAGUCAAAGGUUUCGGAAUUCCGGUUCCUCUUUCGCCUCGUGUCUUCGCGAGAUUAAAGUGCAGUUCCGGGCACCUAUCGUGGCGGGCGGUGCCGCGCACGUCCGAGAGAUCUAAUCUUUUAUCGUGGCACGUUCCGAAAUCUCGGUGAUCGCGCCGAUUCCGCCGACACCCCGCCGCGCGCUCGAAAAACGACCGGUGUCGGCUCUCCGUCGAGUCGCGAGUGCUCGUGCGUGAACUCUCUUGAUUGCAUCUCGCUCGAGUGGUUAUCUUGGAAAUAAAAGAACGACCGAGUAUACAUAGAUAUUGGUUAUUUCGUGCGCGGAUAAUUUCAUGGACUUUUGGUGGAGGAGUAUCGUUCAAUGUGAGCGAGAAAAAGUGAUACGAGUGUAUUUGUGAAUGAAGGGGGUGGAAAAUCGAAACGUUUGUGCAAGAAAGUGAGAAAAAAUCGAAUUUGGAAUGUAGGUAAUUUUAGAAAGAUCAUUAUUUUGUAUUCGAAGCACUGGAUUGUACAUAGUGAACAGAAAGAUAAAAGAAAUUGAGGUUAGCAUCUACAUUUGGUCGUAAAAGUCUACGUAUAUCAAAUUUCGAAAAAGACGAGGAUUUUAAAACAUUUUAUGUAUACUUUCUGUAAAAGUAAUUCUAGAAGAAUGAUUAUUAAUCGGAAUAGAAAAUAUAAAACUCUUCUCUGCAAUUAUUACUAUGGACAUGUUAGUACAAAAUGAUAAUGUUAUUAUCAUUACAAUCAAUUAAUAAUUUUCACAAGACUACAAUGAAAAAUGAACAAUAUAAUAAAAAAGUAUUACAAUUUAAAUAAAUACAAGAAACGUUCUUAAUAUUUUUAAUCAACAAGAUCCGAAAGAACGUCCGAAUCAUUUCUCUUGCAUUUCAAAUGUUUCGAGCUUUGAGAGAUGUACGUAGACCUCUCUGACCGACUGUAGCAGAAAGGCAAAGUGCUAUGUGUGCACGUAGGAUGUCCGUGUGUCCCACUAUAUUAAAAUCCACUAUAUUACCCUUUAUCGACUGAAAUAUGGACAGCGUUAAAGGCAAAUAAGGAGCAGAAUGAAAAAUAGUAAACGAACAGCCCACGAACGAAACUGUAUUGUCGAUUCGAAAGAACAUAAGGACAAAGUUGAACGUGUUAGAUGGCAUCCUUCAUCUUCCUUAAGGAACGUUCUCCCCAUUCCGAAAUCGCGGAGUCGAACGUUCACAAGGGUUGAAGUAGGUCGAGGGAGAAAGAACGAGGCCUGCAAGCGAUUAAACUAUCAAACGGCACCUUAAUAGCCACCAUGCGUCAAGCGAGAUAUUGCCUGACACACGCUUAGGUAGACACAUUGUCCUAAGAUGAUUCGAAUCUUACCGAUCUAUCGCGAGAGUUUCGCGCAGUUCGCUGCGAUAAUACCGGUAUAAAUUCACCCGUGGUUGAUCCCUUAAAACGGUCCCCGAAAUCCCCUAAUACCUUCCCUAAGGAAUAAGGUAAGAUAGGGUUAUUCGAGUCAGUAGGUAUAUUUGGAUCGAGUUAAAUAAUUCAUCCUUUCGAUUUAUCGGAUUCAAUUGCGCGCAAUCUUCGGGUCUUAUUUAAGCCAAUCGUUUUAUUUCGACCAAUCUAAACCAAAUUAUUCCUCCUUAAUUCCGAAAUCAUAUUGAAUUUCAACACUUUCAUUUCUCCGGCUCAAGUUUCAAAUUUAAAUUCUAGCAUUCAAGUUAUUCUAGAAAAGUUAUUCUUCUCCAUCGCCGGAUGAUGGAUUCAAAUUGAUUCAUUCGUAUUCGUACCUCCGAGAGAAUAAUUAAGAAAACGGGACAAAGAUUAAAAAAACACAAUCACAGUUGCGCGUCGUGUCCAAAUUUUAAAGUUUCACAAAAAUAUAUAGGAAACCGCAAUUUACUACUAAUAAUAAAUCGUAAUGGACAAUAAGUUCAAAAUUGAAUUUCAACACCUUCUAAAACUGAUUCGAAUUUCCCACUAGUGUUUCCAACUUCCAAACCUCGUCAAAAAAAAAAAAAAAGAGAGAGAGAGAGAAAGAUAUACAAUAGACUGUAGUUAAUUUCUGAGCUGCGAGCGAAAACACACUUCGGGAGAUAGGUUUUUUCAAAUGGUGAAAACAACUCGUCUGGUUGAAGACCGAGAAGAUGGAAAGUCGGGAAAUCAGUCGGCAAACGGGAGGGAGUAUCGCGUAAUCGAUUCUGGUUAGAAACGACGCUCGAAUUUCCUGCAUGCAAAUCGAAUGCAAGCCUGAGCCGUACGUGCCAGACGAGGAUGCCCACGCUGCUUCCGAUCUGCCAGACCAACUGUCACAUUGGAGAAAUCAGUGCACCGUGGACUGUAAAUCCGGCGUCUAUCCAGCGAGAGAUCGCGGUUGCACCGAUAACUAUUCAUAGCCUCAAGUUUCUCCUAGCGAUUCUGAUCGCUACUACUGGUAAACUGACUCGGAUUACGGGACGUUUCUAAUUGUACGUGCGCAAACGAGAAUAGGGACAGUGGCAUGAAUAAUUGUUGUUACAUUCUGUUUCCCCGUGUCUCGGUACGAUAAUUUUCAACAAACCAACAACGAGCAAAAGCAGCGGUGGCCGACCAAGUGAAUAAACAAAUAAAUCUCCGUGUGCAACAAAGGAAAAUAUAAAUAAACAGGAGAAACAUGCGUGAAGGAGAAACACUUAAUCUCUGUGAUACAUUCGUGCGCUUAAUAAAAUUAUUUUAAACGAAUUAAUUUUAAACGAACCAACAACGAAGCAAGCAGAUAGAUAUCGAGCAAAUCAACGUGUAAAUAAACGGAGGAAAAUAUAAAUAAACAAGAGGAAUGUGUGUACGUAAAACAGGGACACCUAGUUACUGUGAUAUUCGUGCGCCUAAUGUACCAGAUGAGCUAUGCUGCAAGGCCAUAAAUAAUAGAGUGCGCGGAAGAUAACGUCCAGCGAAUGUAACGAAGUCCGUGCUUAGAUCCGCAUUUAAUGAGUAUUUAUCGGCGUUAAAACGAUUACGCGGAUUAUCAAGCUGCAUGGUUCACGGACAAUUAUACGCUGUGUCGCAACGAUCGAAAUCCAACGAUUAAGGCCGGAACGACGGAGCAUAUUCAGCAAGGAUGUUUCGAGCGUCAGUUAUACUCUUCACUACAAGGGAAAUAGCAUUCUCUUUAAAGUUUCAUUUCAACGCGAAAUAAAUAAAAAUGCCACGAAGAGCAACCAGGUGACCCAGGUGACCCAGGUGCGGCGUGUGCUCGAUGGAUCGUCACGAAAAAGCGUUCGUUCACGAUAGGGUAGGUGGUAUCCAUUAAUUUUAUAGAACGUUCGGUGACACGGUCCCGCGAUCGGUGUGAGCGAUCUUUACACGUAUGUACAUAUAUGUACGAAGCAACGAUCAUCCAAGUCGGGCUGAAAAUAUCGAGAGCCGGUCGUUCUGGCGGCAGUCAGCGGCAGUGACCUGAUUUUAAUUUCACGCGUGUUCGAUAGCAGUCACCGGGGCGGCGCAGCGCUUAGAUGACUCGGUCUAGAGAAAAGGAGAGAGAGAGAAAGAGAGAAAGAGAGAGGAGCACUUUUCCUGGCCGCGACGCGAGCGCAUUUCGCUUAACCUCGACUCGUUUUCUCUUCUGCUCGGCAUCGUUUGAUCGCGCGGCCGCGGACUCGCCAACCGGAAUGUAAAGCGACUUCUCGUUUUUCGCAGCCGCUGCGCACAAUCUAGUUCCACGGAUUUUCUUCGUUCUUUUUUUUUUCCCCUCCUCUGGACCAACGUGAUAACCAACAGAGGAUGUGACAACGAGAGAACUACAGAACACGAUACACGUAACACAUGUGUCUCAACCUUGAUUCAGGACCAAGCAACAAUUAAUCAUAACGAUCCAAUUUCUUUAAAUUUCAUAAAAUUGUGGAAUAUAUGGGAAACCCUGAUGAAAGGUUAUUAAACGAAUCUUUGUAAAAUACGUAAUUCAGUAAUGUAAAUUAAUUGAAAAAUAUUGAAAAUAAAAUGAAUUAAUACACGUCUAGUUCAGAGAAUCCAUCAGAUGUCGCGAGUGAAUAAUUUUUAGUGUCUGAUUUUCAAACGUUAAGCUCGCAAAGUUGACUGACAAAUCGUUGCUCGUAUGAAAAUGUUUUUACAUACUCUCGAUGAAAUAUAGUUGAAAUUAUCUCGUUUUUCAAGUUAUUGUGUCCUUAAUUAAUUUUAAAAUAUUUCUCUAAGGAAAUUUCUGUUUAUGUAUAGAGAGCUUUCUUGAAACGCGUCAUUUUAACGGCGAGGCUAGCUGAGAAAUAAAAAUAAAAAUUCCCUCUAGACAUUUCAGACCGGUGAUUCCAUGAAAGCGGCAUCCAAAAGUGUGUUUAACGGAGUCGAGAUUUCAUUUCACACAGCGCGCAACCCCAUCCGGCAAAGGGGUUAACGUUUCGAGUGUCAUUGUAAACCUUGAAAAAUGCCAUUGACCGCCCCUGUUCCAACCCCGUGAGUUACUCGCGACCGUUCUAAUUACCUGGUGCCUGUAUUUCGUAAUUGACACUGGCGGUUGAAAAAACACAGAUCCAAUAUUUUACGCUCUCCGGUUCAUAUUUGCGACAAUAUGUAUAUUAUUUUUGAUGACCGAAAUCAAAUAAAGCCUGAUAACGUGAAACUGACUGAUACAUUAUAUCUAUUAUUAAGUUUGAAAUUUGUACCUCUCGUGAUUUUCGAUUGAUUUGUAUCGCAACGAUUUUUUAGUAUCACUGAAUACCGCAACGCUUGAAUUGAAAAACAAUGUUUUUGCGAUUUUUUUAUUCUGGAAACCACCGCAGAACUACUGGAUUAAUUUGUCAUUCUUUUGUACAACACGUUUUUUUAUGGAUUUACAAUUUGAAGGAUUAAAAUAUAUACAAAUGAAAAA